AAAGAAAAAAAAAAAAAAAAGAUACCUUUGCUAUGUUCCCCAAACCAAUGGCUAAAUUAGAGACCAGUGUUCGCAGGUUGCUGAGAGACUAGGAGCUUUGCUCACGUGGUCUAUGUUAAUGUGUUCAACAGAUGACUGCUCAGGAGGAAACUUGUCUGUAUCUACUUAGUGCACAUCUUUUUUUUUUUUUUUUUUUUUUUCUUUUUAUUCCUCACUCUCUCCAUACUACAGCUUUGGUGCCACUUCCUGAGUUAUUUAGAUCCUUCCUGAUGCUGGACCAAAAUAAGUCCUUUACCUUUCCUGCUGAUGUUCUCUGGCAUGGUGUAAACCAGGCACGUGCCGCCCGCGGGACGCAUGCGGCCCAGCACGGCAGGCAAUGCGGCCCAUCCCCUCCCCGCUCCGUAAAGGCGGCGGCUCUUCCCGCGGAGCGGCCCCAGGCACGCGCCCAUCGCUCAGCAACAGCAAAACAGUCAGUGCGCUAUUAACGCUGCGUCGACUGAAAGCAGGGCGUGGGGGGGGGCAGUGCUGUGCAGUGCUGACUCCCGUGAUGGCAAAUAACUAUGUAUUUUGAUACGUUGGCUAGACACAGGGCUCUGAACAGCAAAGAGCACAGUCAUGCUUUCUGUUUUGAUAAAGGAAUUUGAAAACAGAAUCACAGAAGCAUGGAAUCAUAGAAUCCUUAGAGUUGGAAAGGACCUUUAAAGAUCAUCUAGUCCAACUCCCCUGCAGUGAACAAGGACUUGCAGAGCUCGAUCAGGUUGCACAGAGUCCCUUCCAGCCAGGCCUUGAAAGUCUCCAGGGACAAGGCAUCCACCACAUCUCUGGGCAACCUGUGCCAGUGCCUCACCACCCUCACUGUAAAAGACUUUUCCCUUACAUCCAACCUAAACCUACCCUCUUCAAGUUAGAAACCAUUUCCCCUUGUCCCAUCACAACAGACCCUGCUGAAGAGUCUGUCCCCUUCCUUCUUGUAGCCCCUCUUUAGAUACUGAAAAUCUGCUAUCAAGUGUCCCCGAAGCCUUCUCUUCUCCAGGCUGAACAGCCCCAGUUCUCCCAGCUUGUCCUCACAGGAGAGAUGUUCCAUCCCAUGGAUCGUUUUUGUGGCCCUCCUCUGGAUGCGCUCCAACAGGUCUAUGUCUCUCCUGUACUGAGGACUCCACAUCUGGAUGCAGUACUUCAGCCCUACAGCUACCUGCUGGACUCACCUUCUUCUGUCUCCCAUUCAGUUACUUGCCAACAGUGCCUAUCACAUUCAGAGCACAAAUUUUACCCCCAGGAACAUUUUCUCACUGUUCUUGCACAAGAGUACAACAUUGUGCGUUGUAUCCCUUGGAAGUAUAGUUCAGGGUUAAACUCCAACAUCAAGCAACAACUGAGAAGGAACAGUUGCACCACCUCCUUAUGUUUGAGUAAGAUUUUCUAUAUUCUAAUAAAAUUAGCGACUAGACCCUGAAUUUGAGUCUGAAAUGCUUCAUGCGUUUGGAGAUGUGUUUCAGCAGCAAAAAGCUCAUGAAAGCUACACGGUAACUUCCUUCUCUACUGAUUCUUGUUCCUUUUUUUUUUUUUUUUUUUUUUUCUUUUGCGUUGUGGACAGUUUAAAGCAAUCCUGGGAAAUGUUGCUUUUUUUUUUUCCCCAGUGAAAUUGUGCAUCUCUUGUAGCUUGGGUGGGGAUGGAGAAGAGUAAGACUACUCUGACUGACAUCUUGGCAUGAGAUUUGAGAACCUACCUAGAUUUCAGUAACCCUUUAGGUUACUAUUAAAUUAAAUGCAACAGCAGAGCCCAGGCUGAAGACAAAGAAAAGCUGAGAGGAUGUUGGGAAGAAAAGCAGGCAGCAAAUAACUUCUCAAGGAGCCAUACUGAAUCAUCCAGCUGCUUUUCUUGUUUCAUAAUGGAUGAAAGUCACCAUCUUUGCACACAACAAAAAAAGGAGUGAGCCAGCUCAGUGCAAACAAGACAUGAUGAUUUUCCAGAAACUGUUAGAUGGUCUGUUAAAAAAAAUUCCUUUAUGUAUGCCCCACUGCGUGUAGGGGCAGUAAUUCUCCAAAAUCUGUGUUCAAAUGUCCACUCCAUCCCUCCCUUGCCUUUUACUUUCUUUUGCAUUGUUCUCCUCUGUUGUCUGAUGCAUGCUCUUCUUUGCACGGUCAUGUCUCACUUCCACAUCUCUCCUGGGUACUCUUCUUGGAUGACAGCAUGUCUUUCUCACUUGCUUGAGGAACUUCCUCUCAACCAACGAAGCAGGCAAAGCCUCCUUCAGGUCAGUUCCUGGGUCCUCUCCGUUGACUGAACCUCUCUAAGCAUUUUUCUCCAGGCCAUCCUGAAUCAUUCACAUUUCUUCUCAGAAGCCUUUCUGAUUUGGCAUAUAUAUCCCAGCAGCCAUUUCCCUUAAUUGCCACCCUCCAACAUCUGCUCCAGUCUGAAAUCAGGAUAAGCAAAAACCUGGCCAUUUUGCCACAAGGUAAUGACAGAUAAAUGGAGAUAAGUAACAACGUUGGAGUAAAAAGUACAAAUCAAACCCUUUCAAACUCAGAAAUGGAGUCCCAUUUCCUGAAACACUGCUGUGCAAUUCUACAUGCUGUAAAUCAGGUUGUGAUAGACCACUGAGGGCAGCAGACAUCUUUGGCUGUGCUGCAGGUUAAAUUGGGCUAAGAUCUAUACUAGCUGUAAACCUGAAAGCAAAGCUAGAAUUCCUAACAGAUUAAAAAAAAAAAAAAAAAAAAAAAAAAAAAA